ACGACAAGGUAGAUAGGCCAGGUGUGUAAGAUGGGCAACCAUUUCAGCUGACUGGUACUAAUAGGCCGAGGGCUUGACUUAA
rnacentral:rRNA from 1 species